UACAGAGGUGGCGAGCGUUAUUCGGAAUUAUUGGGCGUAAAGGGCGCGUAGGCGGCUUGACAAGUCCCGGGUGAAAUCCCUCGGCUCAACCGAGGAACUGCCUUGGAAACUGUCUGGCUUGAGGCCGGGAGAGGGUAGUGGAAUUCCCAGUGUAGCGGUGAAAUGCGUAGAUACUGGGAGGAACACCGGUGGCGAAGGCGGCUACCUGGACCGGUUCUGACGCUGAGGCGCGAAAGCGUGGGGAGCGAACAGG
rnacentral:rRNA from 1 species